GAUCAUGGCUCAGGAUGAACGCUGGCGGCGUGCCUAACACAUGCAAGUCGAACGAGGUUACUGAGAUUGGAGAUUCGUCAAAGAUCUUUUAACCGAGUGGCGGAUGGGUGAGUAACGCGUGGAGAACCUGCCCUUAUCAGGGGGAUAACAACUGGAAACGGUUGACAAUACCGCAUACGCUCAUGAGAUCGCAUGAUCUUGUGAGGAAAGAUUUAUCGGAUAAGGAUGGCUCCGCGUCGGAUUAGCCAGUUGCGGGGUAACGGGCCCACCAAAGCGACGAUCCGUAGCCGGCCUGAGAGGGGCGACCGGCCACAUUGGGACUGAGACACGGCCCAGACUCCUACGGGAGGCAGCAGUGGGGGAUAUUGCACAAUGGGGGGAACCCUGAUGCCAGCGACGCCGCGUGGAGGAAGAAGUAUUUCGGUAUGUAAACUCCUAUCAGCAGGGAAGAAAAUGACGGUACCUGACUAAGAAGCCCCGGCUAACUACGUGCCAGCAGCAGC
rnacentral:rRNA from 1 species